rnacentral:pre_miRNA from 1 species
AUGACAGAAGAGAGUGAGCACACAUGGACUUUUUGCAUGUUCAUGCUUGAAUUUAUGCGUGCUCACCCUCUAUCUGUCAU